AGUGAGUGAAGCACUCGUCUGCUUCGCAUUACUUUUCUUCAUGCAUCCUUCCAAAUUGCAAUUUCUAGAGAUUGUAACAUUCAUUUAUCAUGACCUCAAGUCAUUACUUGCUGAAGAAUGCAAAAGCAAUGACUAGCAUAAUUCUUCCUACAAUGUGCUUGAACAUAUGAUUUAUUACUUGUUCUUUUUUUAUCUCGAAACAUCUCAAA
rnacentral:misc_RNA from 1 species